AACGAACGCUGGCGGCAGGCCUAACACAUGCAAGUCGAACGAAGUCUUCGGACUUAGUGGCGCACGGGUGAGUAACACGUGGGAAUAUACCUUACGCUGGGGGAUAACAUCGGGAAACUGAUGCUAAUACCGCAUACGCCCUUCGGGGGAAAGAUUUAUCGGCGAAAGAUUAGCCCGCGUCCGAUUAGCUAGUUGGUGAGGUAAUGGGUCACCAAGGCUCGGAUCGGUAGCUGGUCUGAGAGGAUGACCAGCCACGCUGGGACUGAGACACGGCCCAGACUCCUACGGGAGGCAGCGGUGGGGAAUAUUGGACAAUGGGCGCAAGCCUGAUGCAGCCAUGCGGGGUGAGUGAUGAAGGCGUUAGGGUUGUAGAGCUGUUUCACCCACGACGAUGAUGACGGUAGUGGGAGAAGAAGCGCCGGCUAACUUCGUG
rnacentral:rRNA from 1 species